rnacentral:lncRNA from 1 species
UGUGGAAAAAGUAUCUAAUCGUCAUCCUAAUGAAUCUAACCCAUUCCUUCCAUUUAGCAGGAACUUUUAAUGGGAGAGUAUCUGCUGCAUAUGAAAGGAGUUAUCUGACAGACUUUCUGUCCAUCCAGAAAGAAAAUAGUUCUACUUCAUGAACAGAAUGCCUCUGGUGAGAUCUGCGUAGAAGGUUAUCUACUGAUUGUAGAAGAUCCUCAACCUGACAUUGAAUCAUCCAGCACUGAAUGCUGGAUCUAAUUAGCGAAGCUGAGGUGUUUCCUGAAUGUCCUCUAAGC